AUACCUUGAGGGAAAUACACAGUCCACAGAGCAGCCCUCAAAUCUACCAAGACACAAGAGUCCCGUUUCCCAUUGUUAGGAACCGGUGAUGCCGAGAAUAGCUGCAAAAGCCUUUCCAGUACAGAUGGUCAGCAGACUUAAGUGAGCUUGAGCAAGGGCCAGAUCCGCUUUAAUUACUCAACGGCCACUGUUCAAUUCAUGGCAGGGAGAUUUAACUUUUAGCACACAAAACAUGUCAGUAAAUACCUGCCAAUGCAGAAUGCAUUAUUUAAAUAACCUCCUUUCUUUUUCAACCUUUCUCUGGAAAAGCCUGAACAUUAUUUGUAUGGAUUUAUGGAGAUGUGAAAGCUUAAAGUAAUGUUUCAGAACUAACAAAUGUGGGUAGAUGUGACUUGUAAAAAAAAGAAAGAAAGAAAUCAGCAACAAGCUGAUCAUAUACCGGAACAACAAAGACUGGAGGAUUAAGGCAGUCAGGGAAGAUGAAAGUGUAGGCAAGUUAGCGGGGGUGGGGAGGGGAGCGUGAGCUUGCGAGGCGUUCCGAAACAGGUUGCACACACACAAAAAUGUUUAAAAGAUUUGCCCGUGUGAUUUCCUCCAACCAAUCGAGAGAUCACAGGCCUGCAAAUGCUUACAAGCGCUCUUUUUUGAUCUUUACAAGCCACAAAUAUUAAGUGAAACACCUUCCUUCGGCCUCCUACAACCUUUAAUGGCGGCGGGAGAAGGGGGGAAGAGAGAGAGAUAUUCCCUUGAAAUGGUUUCAAAGCAAUGAAUUUGGCAAAUAAAUGUGAAAAGCUAUUCCAGAAGUGUUGGAUCCUCACAUGAAAUACUAAGUUAAUUAGUAGCUCUCCCCCCUCCUCAAAAUGAACUGACACCCUUAAAGAACUAAGGGAUUUCUUCCUUGUUCUGGACACCCACAUUCCCCCCCCCCACCUUGUUUGAACAAUUCCAAGAAGUGAUAACUCUGGAGUCUUAAGCAUUGUGCUGACAGUCAGCUGUCAUUCAUUGUCCUUUCGUCUGACAACCCCAGGCAUUCAGGCCUGGAUUCAUGAGUUUUCCCUUUCUCUCGAUUUUUAAAAGGAGCUGGGGGAUGGGUGAGUAUAUCAGAGGAUUCAGCUGUGAAUAGACUUUUGUUUUUCUCUUUCUUUUGCCUCCUGACUGUGUCAAAUGCAGUGUGUCUCUCAUGCAGUUUCCCUCUUUAGAGAGCCUUGCCUGGGCCAGCUAGUUAGUAUUCAGAAACAAGCGAAAGAGGAUAAAAUCCUUCUCUCCGGCUUGCUGAGACUGCAAAUAAGCACUUAGACUAAAAAGUGGCGUAGGGGGUGGGAGGGAAGAGAAGACUUUUGCAGCCCUUGUUGUUGACUGGGACCUGCCAAUAUAUUCUCCCUCCAAAUGGCAUAAAAGAGAAAUAUCUAGGCAGUAGGAGGGAUAGAUGACAGUUAAUACACUUGUAGUGUAUUUGCUCGAAGACAGCUUACUUGUGCGCUGUACUCUGAACUGUAGGAUUUGCCAUUUAAUCUUGUUUACUUAUUGUAAUGAGAAUCAAAUGGGGAAGUUAGCAGUGGAAAUGAAAAAUUCAUCCUUUCCCCGCAUGUAAUAGAGUCAGUGCUCAGAAAGGCACAGAUCAAAGUAGUCAGGGCUCUCGUUCCUAUUUCAUUUCUUGCUGAAACUCCCUCUCAGAAUAUAUCAACCACUUUCCCCCUUUCUGGGGCUUAAUAGUAAGGGAAUAUGAUUUUUUUUCCCCCCAGAAGGACAACAUGCUGAAGAAAAGUAGUUCAUGGUGCUGUGAGACCUGGGCUGAAAUCCCUGCUAGUCAGUUGUUGGGAAGAAUUGAGCUUAACGCUCAGGCAUCCCAAAACUAAAAGUAUUCUAGUGUAUUGUUGCUUCUACCAGUGCAAACUAGUUAACUUCCUAGUCUGACUAGUGGUGCUCUCAGGGUAGGAAUUGGGGGUGUCAGCAGAGUGAGGUGUAAGGCUCCCAAACAGGCUUUAACCCAUUUAGACGUGAGGUAGAACACACUGAUAUCUAAAGAAGCCCCCGCCAUAUAAGAAAAGUAGGUUCAGAGUCUAAAAUCACCUAAUUGCACCAAUGAUAUUGGCCUAAUAUUUAUAUAGCAUGUUCAAAAAGUCCACACACAUCAUCUCAGUAAUCUUUCCAAGAACCCUCUAAUGUAGACCAACCUCAUAAUCUGCAUGUGGGGGUGGUGUAGAUGCAGUGCAGACAUGCAAAGAUAGGGCCAAACUAGACAAUAGUGAUUACAUUUAACGCAUCUGGAUUGUUCAUUUUAACAACAGCUGCAAACGGCCCUACCACAGUCCUGACACCCACAAAAAUCGCCCUUCCCAAAACUGCUAUUUAUCUCAGAAGCUGAGACUGAUGCCAAUGGAAGCUUCCUGGUGAACAGGGAGAGUUUAUUUCUUGUGAGGACUAUGGCAGAGAGAAAGUUUAAAAAACACAAACAGCCUUUCCCCAUACACCAGUCUUAACAAAGCCACCCAAACACACACACAGCACAAUACAGCACAACAUGUAGCUCUUUUUUAAAAAGGAGUGCACACACCCCUCAAAAGUCCUAUAUUUUAUUUAUUUGCAUUUUCACCCUACCUUCCUUCCAUCCUGGAACCCAAGUGCCAUUCACGUGGUUCUCAGGAGCUCAUCCAUCCCAGCAUUGACAAACCCAGACCUCUUUAGCUUCAGCAAGGCCACAUGAUCCUUCAGACUAGUUUGGUCCAAGGUGGCCUAUUGAAGCUUGUGGAAGAAAACUCAUGAUUGAGGUAGCAAUUGAGCCAGGAAUUUUCCAGCUGCUCUUUGCAGCAUUCUACGCUACUUCUCUUUUUUUGCCACCCUGUGAUCCAUUCUGGGUGAAGUGCUUGACACUCAGGAUUCAUAGUUUUGAGUUCAUUCCUCCAUUUUAUAUACUUGCAGUAGUGAACUAGUCAGUGCCAGAAGGGAUAUUGAUCCAUGUGACUUGGCAUGUUUCCAGGUAGGGUUACUGUCCCCUUCUCCUGUCCCUUCCAGAGACUCUCUUUGCCCACAUCUAGAGCGCAGUCAGUCAUACAACCCUAAACUGGUGCAAGAUGCGGUGUGUUAGGCACACCACCAACUCGUAAUGCUGCAUAGUGAUGUAAAAACCCUUGCAGCCAAUUCUGUCCAACUUUUUUGCCUUGGCACAGCAGAUCCUAGGACUAAGCCUCAUCCUCUAUCCUUAAAAUGGGGAAGUGUUGUUAUGUCAGCAAGUAAGGUAUAGAUUGCAAACCAUUUUGCUUAUUAAUGGUGCUAUGAUAACACUUACCUUCUGUGCUCAUAACUCACCCUCCCAUCACUUUUCGCAUUUAUCAAAUUAUUUCCCCAUUUUGCUAAUGAAAAGUUGCACUCACUUUCCUUUUUGCUUUUCAGUUGGCACCUUCUACACUUCCUUUCCCGCUUGGCCCUUAUAAAUACAUCCAGGAUGCUAGUAUAUUUUCUCUCCUCUGCUAACUUCUUUCCUGGUAUCUAUUAGAAGCUGGUAAGACAAAAGCACUUGAUUGCAAACCAGCUGGGUGUAGUUGAGGUUACUAUUUUGAAAGAUAUAAUUUAUCUUUAAAUUGCACAUAAUCUAAUUGUAUGUGCACUGCCUACAUCAUUGUUCUUCCCUGACAACUGUAACAAAGAAACAGUGGGCACAAUCUAACAGGAUGGUCCUCUCCGCCAGACUUUCCCAACCUGGUGCCCUGCUGAUGCUUUGAGCUAAAAUGCCCACCAGUCCUAGUCUGCAUAGCUGUGCUGGCUAGGGUGAAGGCAAGUGCAGUCUAAAACAUCUGGAAUGAAUGUGAGCAGUGCAAGAUCACACUAUCGUUCUUGCACAGGUCAUCUGUUGGGCUUGUGUAGAAGAACUUCACCUUGGGUUGUGCCCAUUUAUCGCACUGGAUUGUGCCUAGCAGUGAAACAAAAAUAAAGGAACCUAAAUUUAGAACUGAAUUAUAGGGGAAGCUGGAUUUCCAUGCUCCCCAAAGAGUGACACCUUGGGUUGAUCUUUCAGAGGAGUUCAAAAGUGUCAUGAAAGUGUUCACUUAGCCAGUUGACUUAGCUACAGGACGUAACCUCUGCCCACACCUGAUUCACCUGCCUUCAGUGACAUCACAAAACAGCCAGAUCUGAUUGGCUGUGAGGUGCCAUGACACCAUCAGGCUCCCUGUGUGGCACCCUGAUUGGCUCAAGGAUCAAGAAGAAGCCCCAGCAAAAAAAGGGGGGGGAGAUAUAUACACCAAAACAGUCCCAGUCAGUGGUGCUAUCAGGGCAGGACUUGGGGACAGAGGUCUAGGGCUGUCCUCACCAGAGCUGGCACAGUAUGUUUUGAAGUAAGUGAAGUAAUACACAUUAUUAUCUUCAAAAUGUCUUUGAUCAUUACGUACAGUGUCUUAAAUAACUUAAGUGUGCCAGUAAGAGGAAAGGAGAGCUACAAAUCACUGCAGACUAUUUGGGGGGGGUGUGGGUUAUUUCAGGGAGCUGCAACCCCUCAAACCCCAUUUUACUUCAAUUGCUUUCAAGAACGAAAAUUGCGUGAAGCACUCCUUAAAUAUAAUAGUUUCUAUGCUACUGAAUCCUUCUGCAUGUUCUCUAUUCUGCUAAAUGGUAACGUUCUCUGUUCUGCUACAUGGCAAUUAAACAAUGUUUGUUGAAUUGUUUAAUGAUAAAAUAAAAUUCUGUGGUAACCAGACAGAGCCACAUAUGCCAACACAGGUACUUAACUUUUUUUGUGACUGAUACAUUAUGCCUCCCAUGUCUACCUUAAGGCUUUAUCUCACUGCUUUUGAAGUAAAUGGGAGUUUAAGUGGGCUUUUAACUGAAGAGCAUCUGUGCUCAGCCCUGGAGUAUCAUCAACACUCACAACUCCUGCAGUUUGUAAGCUCUAACCUGCCGUGUAGCUGUGGCUGAUCCAAAGCUCAGACUUCUAGCCAUCUAAGCUUUAUUGAAUUGAGGGAAUUAAGGUGGGAAAUGAGUACAAACAGGUGGAGAGAGUCAAACAUCACAGAUAGGCUUUGCUACCAAGCAUUUGGGAGCCAGGCUGGUAGCUGACUGAGGAGGAGGUGUUGUUGUGGGACAAAUGCCCUUUAUCCAGAACUGGGCUACAACAGCCCUACAAGCUGAUUGCUAAACAGGUGAUCACUGCUACCUCCCACAGUACAGAUCAGGUAUGGUCGAAACUAAGAAAUUAUCAUUGGAAAGAACUUAGUAUUUCCCCCCUCCCCGAUCCAUUAUUUAAUUUGACAUAAGUAGCCAUUGCCUAUAGUUGCCAAAUAAAAUGCUGUUUUGACUUACUAAGCUCCGUAACUUCAGUCUGGUCCACAAUCAUGGAUAAAGGAAUGCUUCUGCACUCAGCUCUUCUUGUGGGCAUAUCAUAGGAAUCUUGUUGACCACUGUGAGAACAGGAUGCUGCAAUAGAUGGGCCUCUGAACUGGCAUCCUUAUGGGUGACUCUGCAGUGCCAUCUCCCCACUGCAAGGCAGGGGAUAAUGGAAGCAUUGGUGGUGAAAGGUCCAGUGAAUACUGGGAUUUGGAAUCUUCGCAAGUUUGAUGCAUUUGAGAUUUGAGGCUUACCAAAUUUGUAUUAACCUAUUAUCAACUGGAUUUUUAGUUUGUGAUGGCUACAUAGAAUCAUCUCUUGGUGCAAAGAGAUCUGCAGUCUGAGACCUGCUGGCUUCUGCAGAAAAGGAAUAACCAUUGCUGUCUUGAUUUUAUAGCAUACUAGAAGUACUUUGUAGAGCGCUUUGAAUAUGUACUGUAACAGGAUAUAUACUGUACAUAUUUUAUGUUAACAAUUAUUUGCAAAAAACUUUGCAAGACCUGUAAGCAAAUCACAGUAAAUUUACAGGAGAGGAAACCAAGUUUAGGGGGAAAUGAAUGAGAUUUGCCUGGCUUUGAAAACCUGUUGAAAGACAACAUAUCAUCUCCAGACUCAGGAUGAGGGAUUGAUGGGACUUCUGCUCCAACCCUAAACAAAUAUGAAACAAACACAUGAAAAAAAGAAUGGCAUCAUAGAGAGAUGGGAGAUCUGUGGUCAUCCAGAUGUUUCUGAACUACAGCUCCCAUCAGCCCCAGCCAGCAUGGAGAGCGAUCAGGGAUGAUGGGACCUGUACUUCAACAGCAUCUGGAGGGCCACAGGUACCCCAGCACUGACAUAAUCCAUCACUGCCUUGUUAAAGAAAAUGUAUGGGAGGGGCAGAGGAUACACACACACACACACACACACACACACACACAAACUUCAAUUUAUGUAGGUACAAAUACACAGAGAGAACCGUUUAAUGGAGAAUAGCUCCUUAUCUGUAACUCACUUUACAAGGCAACUAUUAGUUCUUGUUAUCAGAGGUUUUGCAGAAUCUUCAUAUUCUGCUAAAAGCUAUAUAUAGGAUUAGGUUUUAUUCUAUCUAAUCAGAUGUUUUCUAUGUAACUUGGAUUUUUGUUGUUGUUGGUUUUUUUACAUAUCACUACAGUGUUUGUUUUGCAGUUUUAAAAUCAUGCCACCUACAUUUUUUUAUCUGUGUCCUGCCAUGUAAUAAUAAUAAUAAAUCAAUGAGGUUAAACUGUGAAAAGUCAACGCCUUUUUCUUCUCUUCACAAAGCAUUUUGCAGUAGGUGGCCAAGUAUUUAAGCCAUUUUGACUUCGUGUCAACUAUCCCAGAUAUGCAUGGGUAAGAAGAAGGAAAGGCUGUACUUCAUUAUUUGCAGCAAUGAAUUGACAUGAAAGAAAACAUUUUAAAGAGCCCAGUGACUUCAUUUUCUUUGUGUGCUGAAUAUCAGGGGUUCCAUACCAUGAAUGUUUUGCCUAUGUAAUGCAUAAUGAAUUCAUUGAUAAGCUAUGCACAAAUUUUAUGCUAGGAGGAGAGCAGUUGCACUGAAAUUUCGGACUCCUCGGAAGAUAGAGAAUCAACCCACACAUUUCCACUAUAACCAAGUUUAGACACAUUGAAGUCAGAUUCUUGCCAUUGGCUUCUGCAGAAUUAAGGUUAAACUGGGAGCAAGUCCCACUGACCUCGAAAAGACUUAUUUCUCAGUAGUGAUGUAUAGGAUUUCACUGGAAAUCAAUUCUAUCCAAGCACAGUGGCUUAACUAUCAUUUUUUUGUUUUGUUUUGUUUUCAGAUUGUUUAUUUUCCACUGUGUUCAGGAAUAGUCUCAUGCUGUUUCUGACAAGAUGCAUAAAUGAUGACGGCCCUUGUGUCUCAGAACUGGACUCAGGUAGGCCUGGACAGGGAGCUACAGAUGGGCAGGAAACUUAGAAGCUGCCUGCUGUGUGCUACAUCUGCCACAGCUCACAUGAUAGGCAUACCAGGAGAAGGAAGGUACAAAGGAAGACAGAAGGCAAGUCCCACCUCUGCACAGUGCUACUGUCAGAGCAAACCUUUUCAAGCCAGAGUCGUUGCCCCAAGAAACUAUCUCUAUAAGAGGUGACUUCAGACAGAUGGAGAGUCUGUGGCUCUGCUCAUGUUGCUGGACUCCAUAACCCAUUAGCCCCAGCCAACAUGGUCAAUAGACUGAAGUUAUGGCAGUUAUUGACCAACAACAUUUGGACGGCGAGAGUUUCCUCAUCUCUGCUGAUGGAGAAAUGUGUGAGGGAGUAGUCAGGUGAGCUAAAGGCCAUGAGAGGGAUGUCUGAUGGAACCCCACCGUAAUCCUUGCCCAUAUCCCCUCAUUGUGAAUUGUUGCAAGCCUCUCUGCAUGAAGCUAGUGCCUAGAGAAGAGUUGUACUGAGAGAGAAUCAGAAACGUGCAGCCAUUAAAACAAAAAUACUGAUAUAGUUGUCUCCCAGAAGAUGUCUUUGUUUAAGACUUCUCCAGUCACAACAUGACUGCCAGAUCACCUAACAAAAACUGGGUCCCCCCCCCUUUGCGAAGCAGAGCUUAUCCUGUGUUUCCAGCUUGUCAUAGAGUCUGCAAUUCUUUUGUAUAUUUUUGUGGUGCUUUUGACAUUCAGAAACAACCUCAACCCAUGCAGCAAACGGCAGUUAGAAAAAGUGCAGCCAGGGAGUUAAAAUAUUCUCUUGACUUCUUCUUCUUCUUUUUUUUUAGAUAUUUUGAAAGCACCAACCUAAGCACGUCCACAGGAUUUUUUUUUAUUAGCAAUGUCUAAAAAUAUUUGGAGGUGAGCCCUCUCCUCCUGUAAUAGCCUAAAAGAGCUGACGUGUUAUCACAUAUGGUUGAAAUGUCUUUAUCUGGUUAGCUUCAUGCCUGUUUGAGAAGUGUGGGGAGUUCAGUUUCCAUCUGUGUGUGUGCCCAAAAGGUUACUGAGUGUCAGAUGUCGGGGCUCAGACUAGGUCAAUCAGGGAUGCAGAAAUGUGCAAAAAAAUGAUAAAUGGCUUCAGAGGAGAGGGGAAAGCGCAAAACCAAAGCUUCUGUAAUAAGCAAUCUUUUAAGCAGCCCCCUUCAAGGUCAGCAUGGUGUAGAACCGCUGUGCUUUUAUGGAAAAUGGUUACUCUAUAUAUAAACUGGAACAUUAUAAAGUGGAAAAUUAGGAAAAGCUGGUGGGAGAAUGAUAUUCUUAGAGAAUUCAUCUUCUGCUAUCCACUAAGAAUGAUAUGCUUAAAAGUUCCUCCAUGGUUAACUAUGCUCAGAAUCCCAGUUCUGAUUGGAUGCUAAUAGGAGCAAUUGUGGCCUGAUCAUAAUGGGAUGCAUUGUCCGCUGCUGCCUAAGGCAUAGUAUUUUGUACCUCCCAAAUGAGGAAUGAGGCAGAAUAAGACAAAAUAUGAGGAUCUCAAGACAAUGAUUGCUCUAGAAAUAACACCAGGCUAUGGUCAAGACCUUGCAAUUUGCAACCAAGCCAUAUGACAGCACAGUCAGAUCAGCACAAAACAAUGCCAUACAAACCCACUACGGACACAGAUUGAGAAAGAGUGGCGAAUGUCAGUGCCACCAUGGCUCCUGUAUCAUAGAGAAGUAUGGGACUGUGACUGGUUCAGCGAUGACCCAAGGCUGCUGACUGUUCCCAUUAGCUCAGCUAUGUAUUGGUAUCCAGCAAUCAGAAUGAACUGCUGUGUAGUUCACAUAGGUCACAAAACAAGGAUCAGGACUAUUCCAGAUGUUGUGCAGAUGCUAGUGCACUGUUUGGAUGGGGGGUGGUUGUGGCUAUAUAGUAUUAACUAUAGUAUGUCUAUGGACUUACCCUGUGAGGACAGGGUAUUCAGCUAAAUAUUCAGCUAAAUCCUACUCAUGAACCUAAGUUGGUUGUGAAUUUUAGCUUCAAUAGGUUCACUCAGCAUAGAACGUGGAAUGUGAUUCGCAAUGCCUGAUGGAUGGAUCUUUAGUGUGGUCCACAAGGGCUCUUCCACCAGUGACUGGGACAGUUGCGUGGAAUUUGUGGCUCAGUUGCACAAUGGCACAAAGUUGAUUUGCACAUGAACCAUGGACCAAACAAUAUGUAUGUGUUCUUUCAUCACGGUAGGAAUAGCACUGGAAGUGAUGUGCUAAUAAGCUCUUAGCAUGGAGAACAACAACAGCCGCAUGGGUUCAGAGUCAGUACUGACUAGCAGUGGCUCUCCAGGGUUUCAAACAGGGAUCUUCCCAGCCUUACUGGGACCUUCUGCAUGAAAAGCAGAUGCUAGCAAGAAUAAGGGAAACCCCAGUUGAUGAGUAUGACUUGCAGCAUGGGACUGUGCACCAGCAUUUAUCAUUUUAGAAACUGAGCACUGCAUGUACCAACACGACCAUUUCUAUCCCUAAAGCAACUAGGCAAAAAGGAAAAAAGAACUCUGCUCAAUUAGACCCUGUUGUUACUUUUAAUGAGGACUGUUACAGAGUAAUUGGAAACAUAUGUUCCAAGUGACUACAAAACUGAACAAUAUUUUUUUUCUGCCUAAUCUUUAGAUUGAAAUCUUAUGGAUUAUUAUUACAGCAAAAUUCAAGGAAGCCUAGAUGACUAUGGCUGAUUACUUACUCUUUUCACUUUUUUUUGUAAUCUAUAGACAAUAGAUUGAAUGACCUGCAUGGACAUAAUGGGACAAAAUUCAAUAGCUCAUCUGCUGGUGAUCUUGGUGUUCAUUUUCUAUUUUUAUUUUUUUUUAAAAAAAAAAUCUAGUCCUCACAGUGGCAUAGUAAAACCAAAAAGAGAGGAGCUAGAAGGUUGGGUUUUUUAGGACAGUUUGUGGGAUUUCCCCUCAAAAAAUAGAAAAUAGAAAAUCUGUUCCUGUCUUCAAGGAAUAAAAACACAUCCUUUUUUUCAGGGCCUUCCCAGAAGUCACAGUGUUCAUAUAGGGACUGUAAGGUAAAAGGUAAAGGACCCCUGGAUGGUUAAGUCCAGUCAAAGGUGACUAUGGGGUGCAGCUUAGACCACAGCGCCACCACAUUCUUUACCUUUACCUUAUAGGGACUGUAUAUGUACACACACACACACACACACACACACACACUCAGAAUCGGUUAUUUCAAACCUCCUGUGCAGUGCUAUUUUUCUAAAAAAAACAGGUGUCAGAACUCAUCAUGAAUGCCUUCCUCUUUCUCUUAGACUGGCAAUGGCACCCACCUGAGAGCUGCCAGAAGUCACCUGAGACGUUUCAGAACUCACCGGAGAGGUGCCAAAACUGAGUUCCAGCGAGUUCCCCUGAAAAAAAAGCCCUGCUCCUAUUUAUGACUAACAAGCACUACAGCUAAGCUCUCUUCAGGCAUUCCAAAGAAAUGGGAGUGCUCACACUGCCUAUGUGCCUGGGGAUGUGUGGUCCAGCCCUACCCCAAAUGUCCUUGUGGUGAUUCCCAUGCUUGGAAUGUUGGGUCAGGAUCUGGGAAGCCAGGAUUCAUAUCCAUGAAGCUCCUGGGUUGACCUUGGACCAUUCACUGCCCCGUAGCCUAACCUUUAUCACGAUGCUGUUAUAAGAAUAAGACCGGGAGUCUCUGAGCUCCUUGGAGAGAAAGUAGGAUGUAAAAGUAAUAAUUAAUAAAUAAAAUGUCAGGUCCAGCUCCUCCUCUACCACCAUUAAUGCACUGAGCAUGAGAGCUUGCAGGGAGAGUCUAACCGCAGUCACAGCUAAAAUCUCCCUGCAGCUGUUGUGCUCAACACAUGAAAGGUCAGGAGAGGAAAUGGAGGGGCAGUGCGCAUGGGGGUGUUUGAAACCUCACAUGUCCUUUUGAACAGAGCCUUAGUACUAAGGAGGUUGCAUAGAUAGUUUAUUUCCAGAAGAAGGGUAAUGAGAGAGAGAGAGAGAGAGAGAGAGAGAGAGAGAGAGAGAGAGAGAGAGAUCUUUUAUAUGAAACACUGGGGAAAGGGAGAAAAGGAGGCAAGAUUCUGGGACUCUGAGAUCUCUAAGAAAUCCAGAGCAGACCCUAGUAAUGGGAAAGGCAUCACUAGGCCAGAACCAUGGUUCUGCUUCUUCGGCCCCUCAAAGUAGAUGGAAAGAAUUGCCACAGCUCCAUAAAUGACGCAUUCCUGGUUGGAGCAUUCACAAAGAGGCAGGCAGAGCUCAUCUGGAAAUCCAAGGCAGGCUGGAAGCAAAACUUUUUUCCAGUAUUAUUAUCCUGUUUGCAUGUGCCUAAUUAGUAUAUGUCCUCCUGAAUGCUGCCCUCCUUCACCAGCCACAGCCUGAAUGCAUUGAUAUUGUCUCCUUAAAAGUUCAGAACCCCCCAGUGACAGGAAUAUUAAUGCACCAACCCUGACAUAUCUGUUUCAGCUCAUACAUAUGCAAUGUCUUUGUUUUCAGAGAUUUAUGUCAGACUUUGCUGGAGUGAGGUAUUCUACCAUUUUAGAUAAUAGCAUGCCAAAGUGAUGUUAUCAGGCACAUUCGCUACUCACUCAGGCAAACGAGAGAAGCUUCCCUUCCCUUCCUUCCCAGCUUCGGCACGCAGAAACUGUUAUUUAUCCUUAUUUGAUGAAAUCUUUCUGGGGGAAAUGGUAUAUUUUUAGAAGAAGAUUAUGGUCAUCCUGUGGAUUAUCUUUUAAUUAAGAAUGGAUGAUUUGUGCCCACUCUGCUGUAGCAAACGUCUUGCUGCUAAUGAAGUUUAAACAGACUUACUUUAUUUAAUUAUGGCUAAUCACUAGGGUAAAAUGUGGAAUUGUCUUUGAUCCACAUGUAGACUGGUAAUCCUUGUGGCAGAUAGCAUCUUGUAUUCCUUCAAACUUUUUUUUUAAAGUUUCUCCAGGAGGUCCCGGCUCAAGGAAGGGUUAAUUGAGAUAGCUGGACUUGCGUGAUUGAUAUUUUCUCUCCCCCCCCCUUCUUUUUCCCAAGGACGGUCCUUCCCUUCUCUUCCUCUGCCUGCCUCUCUCUCUCUCUCUCUCUCUCUCUCUCUCUCUCUCCAUGCAUUCACCUUCAGGCCUUGUAAUAUAGUAGAUAGCUGCUUGUUUGACAAAAGGGACCUGAGGGGGCCGAGGGCCUGCUGGAUCCAGGAGAGAAAAAACAGAAACGGCUGGAAAGAAAGCAGGGAGUGAGGAGAGGGCAGUAGAGACCAGUGUCAAGCAGAAGAGGGCACUAGUUAACUGACCUAUUUCAGCCACCGACUCUUAUCCAGCAGCUCAAAACAACUGUUUUCUGCAUGGGGCAGUAAUACAAUUUCCCUCCCUGCAAAACACAUGUUUAUAACAUAAAUGACACGACUGAGCAUUUGAUUAUUUGAGCGUAUCUUACAAGUUUCUGGUAAGGCAUUUGAUUGUCUAUCUGGCUUGGUCUCCCACCCCCACCCAAACAAUGAGUAAAAGAAUUUAUAAUAGAAUAAGUAGUUCAGUGAAGAAAUGCAAUUCCAACUUAUAUCUGAGUAGUGUGGGGGUUAGCACCCCCUCCCCCUGACCUACGUUUUUUAUGUGAGGGAGAAGGAUUGCCCAGCCAUCACUGUAACGCCAGACAAUAUUAUUACAGGAAAUAUUCCUGCUGCAGAGGACAGAGGUUUCUCAGCUCUCAAGCCACUAAACCCAGUUUAGUGGGAAUGAUAAAAUGAAUUGUGGGUGGGUAUUACACAACAGACCUUCCAGACAGUCACAAUAUUUUUGGUAGGAGGGGGUAAUUUAAGUGCAUAUUUAGUUUAGCAGUCCUUACCCUAUAUACUGUACCUACAGUAUGAACCCAAGCAAUCUAGGGGGGGGGGGGGUUAAAAUAAUUAUUGAACUUGCCAAGCACACAUUCCAGACCCCAGUUUUUCCAAAAGUAUAUGCUAUUAAGAUUAAAAGAAAGAUUCGAAAAAGACAAAUGAACAAAACAGAACACAGAAACCAGUGGAACUCUGUGACUCAAGCCCAACGGAUCCUAAGCUAUUUACUUUUAACAUAGCAACAAAUAAAUAAAUAAAUAAAUAAAUAAAUAAAUAAAGCAACAAAUAUAGUUACUGGUUUCCCGAUGGUCCUUGUUGGACGAUGGGCUCCUGAUGGUACGAAGGGGACGACAGCUUGUGUUCAACAGCUCACCUUUAAGGGCUCUAUCCAUGGGCAUAGCCGGGGGGGUAGGGGGCAGCUGUCUCCCCCUAAAUCAAGAAAAAUCAAUACAAAUACAAACCUGAGGUUCUUCCCCUCCUAACAAAAGCCUGCGCCCUUAAAAAAAACACACACCCUAACAAAAAUCCUAGCUACGCCCAUGGAUCUAUCCCAGAUACUGGUUUGAGUGACAAUUGCUAUUCAAUGACCAAUCAGACCCCAUGUCACGUUUUGCUGAUAAAAAGGGUCUGACACCCACUGGGGAGUGAGGGAUUGCUAGACACUGGGAUCAGAGGAGUGGGACUACCUGCUUACCUUUCUUGAGGUGGACUCCCAUUCCUAACUCUCCAUGGCUGGAUCUAUUCUAGACACAUCAAAGAAGUGUUUCAGGAAAACACGUUGUGAACUUUAUAUGAGAAAUCACAUUGGCAAAAACGGAACUCAACAGCGCCAUUUGAUGUCACAGUGUUAUAAUGCAUAUACAACACAUAUAAAACACUUUUUCUUUACCAAUCUAGCUGAAGUCUCUUGUCUCUAAACCAGGAAGUGAUCCUCAUUGUUUACAAGGAUCAUUCUUUUAGGGGUGGGGCAUGCAAGGAUUGACAGCAGGUUUGCAGCAGGGCAAGCUGCCAGACAUGAGUAUGCAAUGUUCCAGCUCAGAGGCACAUCCAAAGUCUUUCAGCAAACUACCCUGCUGAAGACCCACGGAAAAGCCUUGGGGUGGGGCCAGCACGGGGUGCAACAGCAGGGUGAGUACAUACACCCUCACUCUUCUCCCUCACAGAAUUGUCAUUGCAAAGUUGUGAGUCAUUGCACAGGACUUGUGAGCUCCCCUUUCUAGUGCCAGAAUUUGGAUCUUCAGAUAUAUGGCAAGGUGAUUAUCCAUCCACAGCAAAGUUAAUCCCCUUCCUUACCUGAAGUUAGGGAUAUAGAUCACUUGAUUUGACUUGUGCAAGCAAAGAAAUAAUGGAACUAUCCUUAUGGGGGCUGAAUUUGCUUGCAUUUGUAUCACUUGUAAACCUUCCUAGGUUUACAAAUCGUGGUCAGCAGAAUUUCAGUAGGAGCCAAACUGCCUCUUAAGACAUUGCUGUAACUUCUGCCCGCUGCAAUCCAAUGGAUCAGCACUCUUUGAUGCUUCUGUUGGAGUAACACAAAUUGGCCAAUUUUUCCAUAGAUGUCUGAGAGAGAUCAGUAGCCCUAGUCAUGUGCACAAAGCAAUGGUGUCUGGGCACGAAGAUUCUGUGUUUUCACAUUCCUCCUUACUACUUUCCCUGACCAAUCAGCUUUCGAAAUAUUCUAUUUCCUCGCCGAGCUUGCAACAUGUGUCUCUUUUUGAAUGAAUAGGACCUAACAUUCACAAUGCCCAACUUAGCACUCUAGCUGGUGUACACACUAAGGCCAGUCAUCCAGACUGCAGUUUAAAUGGGCAGUGACCACUGGGGACUAGAAUUCGCUGUGUGUCUGUACUACUGAAAUCCAUGUGUCUCUUCCAGGCAUGGGAGAUUCCAGGAAGAGCCCAUCUCACAUGAAAUGUAUGUGGAUUCCCACAGAUACAGCCACAUCUAAAUGCACAUGGAUCUCUGGAUCAGCACAUAUGAAGACAGCCAC